GACGAACCGUGCGAACGUUAUUCGGAAUCAUUGGGCUUAAAGCGCGUGUAGGCGGAUUCGUGCGUCUGUCGCUGAAAUCCCCCAGCUCAACCGGGGAACGGGCGCGGAUACGACGAGUCUGGAGGGGCAUAGGGGGACCUGGAACUUCCGGUGGAGCGGUGAAAUGCGUUGAGAUCGGAAGGAACGCCCGUGGCGAAAGCGGCCGACUGGACCACACCUGACGCUGAGGCGCGAAGGCCAGGGGAGCGAACGGG
rnacentral:rRNA from 1 species